rnacentral:rRNA from 1 species
AACGAACGCUGGCGGCGUGGAUAAGACAUGCAAGUCGAACGGGAUUACUUUUGGUAGCAAUACCGAAAGUAAUUCAGUGGCGAACGGGUGCGUAACACGUGGGCAAUCUGCCGAAAAGUGGGGGAUAGCUCGCCGAAAGGCGAAUUAAUACCGCAUGUGGUGAGGGACGACAUCUUCCUGAAUCCAAAGCCGGGGCAACCUGGCGCUUUUUGAGGAGCCCGCGGCCUAUCAGCUAGUUGGCGGGGAACGGCCCACCAAGGCUAUGACGGGUAGCUGGUCUGAGAGGACGACCAGUCACACUGGAACUGAGACACGGUCCAGACACCUACGGGUGGCAGCAGUCGAGAAUUUUUCNCAAUGGGCGAAAGCCUGAAGGAGCGACGCCGNGUGGAGGAUGAAGCUUUCGGGUGUAAACUCCUGUCAUUUGAGAACAAGGUUGCGCGGUUAACUGCCGCGU